AACGAACGCUGGCGGCAGGCCUAACACAUGCAAGUCGAGCGGUCAGCAAGGGGAGCGGCCGUCGGGUGAGUAACGCGUGGGAACGUACCGUUUUGUCCGGAACAACUCCGGGAAACGGGAGCUAAUACCGGAUAAGGGCAAACGGGGCAAGAUAAAACGCCGAAAGAACUGAGCGCGACCGUUUGGCUAGUUGGCGUGGUAACGGCCCACCAGGGCGACGAUCAGAAGAGGGGCUGAGAGGAAGAUCAGCCACACUGGCACUGAGACACGGGCCGGACUCCUGCGGGAAGGAGGAGUGGGGAAUACUGGAAAAUGGGGGCAAGCCUGAUCCAGCCAUGCCGCGUGAGUGAUGAAGGCCUUAGGGUUGUAAAGCUCUUUUGUACGGGAAGAUAAUGACUGUACCGGAAGAAUAAGCCCCGGCUAACUUCGUG
rnacentral:rRNA from 1 species